GAUGAACGCUAGCUACAGGCUUAACACAUGCAAGUCGAGGGGUAACGAGAGGAAAGCUUGCUUUCCUUGUCGACGACCGGCGCACGGGUGAGUAACGCGUAUCCAACCUGCCCCCAACUAAGGAAUAACCUUGCGAAAGUAAGACUAAUACCUUAUAAUUUCCUAAGAUGACAUCUGAUGAGGAAUAAAGAUUUAUCGGUUGUGGAUGGGGAUGCGUCUGAUUAGCUUGUUGGCAGGGUAACGGCCCACCAAGGCAACGAUCAGUAGGGGUUUUGAGAGGAAGGUCCCCCACAUUGGAACUGAGACACGGGCCAAACUCCUACGGGAGGCAGCAGUGAGGAAUAUUGGUCAAUGGGCGAAAGCCUGAACCAGCCAAGUAGCGUGCAGGAUGACGGCCCUAUGGGUUGUAAACUGCUUUUAUACAGGAAUAAAGUUAGCCACGUGUGGUUAUUUGUAGGUACUGUAUGAAUAAGGACCGGCUAAUUCCGUGCCAGCCGCCGCUGUAA
rnacentral:rRNA from 1 species